rnacentral:rRNA from 1 species
AGGCUCAGUACGGCGAGUGAAGCGGCAACAGCUCAAAUUUGAAAUCUGGCCGCAAGGUCCGAGUUGUAAUUUGCAGAGGAUGCUUUUGGCGAGGUGCCUUCCGAGUUCCCUGGAACGGGACGCCAUAGAGGGUGAGAGCCCCGUACGGUUGGACCACCGAGCCUCUGUAAAGCUCCUUCGACGAGUCGAGUAGUUUGGGAAUGCUGCUCUAAAUGGGAGGUGUACGUCUUCUAAAGCUAAAUACCGGCCAGAGACCGAUAGCGCACAAGUAGAGUGAUCGAAAGAUGAAAAGCACUUUGAAAAGAGGGUUAAAAAGUACGUGAAAUUGUUGAAAGGGAAGCGUUUAUGACCAGACUUGGGCUUGGUUGAACAUCCGGCGUUCUCGCCGGUGCACUCUGCCAGUCCAGGCCAGCAUCAGUUUGUCCCGGGGGAUAAAGGCGGUGGGAAUGUGGCUCCCCCGGGAGUGUUAUAGCCCGCCGUGCAAUGCCCUGGGACGGACUGAGGAACGCGCUUCGGCACGGAUGCUGGCGUAAUGGUCAUCAACGACCCGUCUUGAAACACGGACCA